rnacentral:pre_miRNA from 1 species
UCUUAUGGAUGAGCAAAGGAAGUAGUUUCUCGGGAUAGAAUAUAUUUUUAGUGAAGAUACUGUGAA